rnacentral:rRNA from 3 species
UGUCUGGCGGCUGUAGCGCGGUGGUCCCACCUGACCCCAUGCCGAACUCAGAAGUGAAACGCCGUAGCGCCGAUGGUAGUGUGGGGCCUCCCCAUGCGAGAGUAGGGAACUGCCAGACAU